GCCUGUGUAGCUCCGUUGGUAGAGCUUCAGACUUUCAAUCUGAGGGUUCAGCGUUCAAGUCCCUGUUCAGGCG